UACGGGGGGGGCAAGCGUUGUUCGGAAUUACUGGGCGUAAAGCGUGCGUAGGCGGUUGUCUAAGUCUGGUGUGAAAUCUCCCGGCUCAACUGGGAGGGUGCGCCGGAAACUGGAUGACUGGAGUGCCGGAGAGGUAAGCGGAAUUCCUGGUGUAGCGGUGAAAUGCGUAGAGAUCAGGAGGAACACCUGUGGUGUAGACAGCUUACUGGACGGUGACUGACGCUGAGGCACGAAAGCGUGGGUAGCAAACAGG
rnacentral:rRNA from 1 species